rnacentral:rRNA from 1 species
UACGUAGGGUGCAAGCGUUAUUCGGAUUUAUUGGGCGUAAAGCGCAUGUAGGCGGUUUUCUAAGUCUGAUGUGAAAUCCCUGGACUCAAUUCAGGAAGUGCAUUGGAUACUGGAAGACUAGAGUAUAAGAGAGGUGGACGGAAUUACUGGUGUAGAGGUGAAAUUCGUAGAUAUCAGUAGGAACAACAGAGGCGAAGGCGGUUCACUGGAUUAUAACUGACGCUGAGAUGCGAAAAGUGUGGGGAGCAAACAGG